CUAUGAUCCCAGACCUGAGCAUCUAAGCUGGGAAUUGAACUGUGCUCUUUGAGAUCUGAAGCAGGGUAUUUUGUUCAGUAAUGGGUGGUCUGCUGCCUCCCCACAAUGCUGGCUCCUGACAGACAGGUUAAUCAAUAUUAUUGAUUGUGGGAUUUGAGAAGCCUGUCUGUAUGAAGGGUCUGAUUUGGGAACUUCACACAUUUCACUGGGUCUUUAUUUAAUGAAACUGGGCAAUGGAAAAGUACCUCAGUUCAGCUGGAUCUGGUUUAAUGGAACAGACUUGAGAAAGAAAACUUUCCUCCCCAAACUCAUGAGCAUCAUCAGUCCAUAUAAAAUAUCUUCCUAAGAAGGUCACCAUCUAACUAUCAAGAACAGCCACAAAUGAGAUGUACAAUGCUGAGAGCCAGCCAUGGGUGUGUACCUCCCUCACUGCUCACAACACACAGAAUGUUGCUCCUGUCAUCACUGCCAUUGGCUGCUCCAAACAUGCAGGAGAAGAAUCUUUAUGUGGAUACUUCAGGCAAGAGAUCUGGAAGUGACCCUGCAUGUCUCAGGGCAAUGGCCAAGUACCCUGGGGGAGAAGACAUGGCUAUCGUGCCAGAAAGGACUGGAAAGCAAGAGGAGAGAGCACACAAGCGGAGUUGGGAGCUAAGGCAGAUCUGCAUGACAUGUAUUGUGGGAGAAAAGCUUCAUGGAAAAAUGUAAGCUGGAUGUUAGGGAUGAACAACCCUUGGGGAACGGAGGGUGUUUGAGUACAAUAAUAAUAAUGAUGAAC
rnacentral:lncRNA from 1 species